rnacentral:rRNA from 1 species
GGAACUGGAGGUAAUACUCUCGAACUAGAGUUUUCUACGGGGUGAAUGGAACUGUGGGAGGAGUAGUGAAAUGCGUUGAUCCCCACGGGAACACCAGCGGCGAAGGCGGUUCACUGGUAGAAGACUGACGCUGAGACACGAAAGCUAGGGUAUCGAAGCAGAUUAGAGACCUGCGUAGUCCUAGCCGUAAACGCAUGCUUGCUAGCUGCAUUUCCGCCCCUUCGGGGGUUAGGUGUGGCGAAGGUAACCCGUUAAGCAAGCCGCCUGGGGAUUACGGUCGCAAGACUAAAACUCAAAGGAAUUGGCGGGGAGGCACACAACCAGUGGAACAUGUGGUUUAAUUCGAAACAAACCGAAGAACCUCACCUGGGUUUGACAUGUAGCUGCUCAUCCUAUGAAAGUAGGACUCCUUCGAGGGUGCUACACAGGUGCUGCAUGGCUGUCGUCAGUUCGUUCCGUGAGGAGUGCCCUUAAGUGGGACAACGAACGCAACCCCCAUCGUAUGUUAUAUCUGUCAUACGAAACUGCCUUGCCGUUGGCGAGGAGGAAGGAGGGGCAGACGUCAAGUCUGCAUGGUCCUUAUGCCCAGGGCUACACACAUGUUACAAUGAGAAGGAACAAUGAGCAUUGCGAACUCGCGAGGGUAAGCAAAUCUCAGAAAUCUUCUCUCAGUGGGGAUUGGAGUCUGCAAUUCGACUCCAUGAACGCGGAAUUG